AUGUAUCCAUUAGCUUGGGAUGUUGUGGAGAAGGAGACAAAUGAGAGUUGGGCCUGAUUCAUUGGGCUUUUAAUCAAAGACUUGGACAUUAAUGACCAAGGAGUUGGAUGGGUCUUCAUUUCUGACAAGCAAAAGGUAAAAAAAAUGUUGCCUUAUUUAGGUGUCAUAAAGGUUCAGUCGCAUCGACAGAGCAACAAGUACUCAUGUGAUAGGUGA
rnacentral:rRNA from 1 species